CAUGAAGUCAGACAAGUGAACCCGCUGAAUUUAAGCAUAUCAAUA
rnacentral:rRNA from 1 species